CCUUGUUAAUUAAUCAGAGGUGCAACCUGCCCAGUGGUUCUAAAUAUAUUUUUAAACAAAUAUUAAUUGAAUUAAACGGCCGCAGUAUCACUGACUGUGAAAAUGUAGCGAAAUCAAUUGUCACUUAAUUGGUGUCCAGUAUGAAUGGUUAAACGAACUUUCCACUGUCUCAAAAAUAAAAUUAAUAAAAUUAUAAUAAUAGUGAAGAUACUAUUUACAAAUUAAAAGACGAAAAGACCCUAUAGAGCUUCACUAUAUUUUUAUUUAAAAUACAAUUAAUUUAAUAGUAUUAUAAUAAAAAGGGUAGUUUGGUUGGGGCGACCGUCUUCUAUAAGAAACGAAGACUAACAAUGAUAUUUUAAUUAAUAUUAAUUUAAUGGUAUAGAUUAUAUUCUUAACCAAUAUAAAAGUAUGUAAUAUUGACCCGUUUUAUUUUUAAUAAACAAAUAAACAAUUAGAAAAUAAAAGCUACCUUAGGGAUAACAGCGUAAUUUUGUUUAGAAGAUGUUAUUUGUAACAAAGUUUGCGACCUCGAUGUUGAU
rnacentral:rRNA from 1 species